CAGGGGAGGGAAAUCAGUGGCUGUUGCUGGAACAAUCACGGUUGUUCUCCUGGUUAUCGUGUUCCUCUCUGUCCUCGUGUGGAUCAGACAAAAGAGGGCUUCCAAUGAACCGUCUGAGGCUGAAGAGAGACAAGAACACACGGAGCAGGGACAACCAGAGGAGCAGGAAGACCUUCAGUAUGCCAGCAUACACUUCUCUAAAACCCAGGAGCCUCUGUACAGCAAUACCAGACCAGCUCGGCCCCCAGGAGAACGGAGCAGCAGGACGUCACUGAGUACGCUGCCGUCAAAUUUACCAGGAACAGCACCGCCAUGAGAACCAGAAGUAAAGAACCUGAAGAGGAUCCAGCUGCUCUGUACAGCACCGUCAACAAAAGCCGAUGACCUCGACAGGCACUGUGUUCACACUCUGUUUUAGAUUUCAUAUAUUUGAAUGUAUGCAGGUCGCUUCUGAUUUUACAACACAUGUCUUAUGAACUGCUACUUAAAGAUUAUACCUUUGUAAUGAUUUUAACGGCCUGAUAAAUGUAACAUAAAGCAGCCUCGUUUUUUACCUCCAAUCUGUCAAAUCUACCACACACGGGAAGUAUUUCAUGACUUAGACUGGGUGGUAUGUAGGGAUGUGCGCCAUUAGCAUGCUAAUGCUAGGUACCAGAUCUGCUCGGGUGGUCACAUCUGCUCGGGGUCUUGCGUCUGCUUAUUUACAUUACACAAUAUGAUCGACUGUACGCCUGUAUGAUGAUGUAGCACAUGCUCAGAGGGGUUUCACUUGGUCCCCCCAUUAUGUCUCUGCCUCAUUCAGGUUGAAGACAAAACGUCACAGGGACGUUAAUAUCGCAGCUUGAAACGGCAGUCUGAACAGGGCUACAGAGAAGCAGACCAGACCUCUGGUUUCAGAGAAACAACGUCUUUUUGUUCUGUUGAAGGUCAGAGCAGGAACGUGGAAAAACA